GGGCCAGUAGCGCAGUUGGGAGCGCGCAUGAAUGGCAUUCAUGAGGUCACCGGUUCGAUCCCGGUCUGGUCCACCA
rnacentral:tRNA from 7 species